UACGUAGGGACCGAGCGUUGUCCGGAAUCAUUGGGCGUAAAGAGCGUGUAGGCGGCCACUUAAGUCCUGCGUGAAAUCCUGCGGCUCAACCGCAGGCGGUCGUGGGAAACUGGGUGGCUAGAGUGCGGGAGAGGAGAGUGGAAUUCCCGGUGUAGCGGUGGAAUGCGCAGAUAUCAGGAAGAACACCUGUGGCGAAGGCGGCUAGCUGGGCCAAUACUGACGCUCAUGUGCGAAAGCGUGGGGAGCAAACAGG
rnacentral:rRNA from 1 species